GUAAUACAUAAGUAACCUGCCCUAGACAGGGGGAUAACUAUUGGAAACGAUAGCUAAGACCGCAUAGGUACGGACACUGCAUGGUGACCGUAUCAAAAGUGCCUCAAAGCACUGGUAGAGGAUGGACUUAUGGCGCAUUAGCUGGUUGGCGGGGUAACGGCCCACCAAGGCGACGAUGCGUAGCCGACCUGAGAGGGUGACCGGCCACACUGGGACUGAGACACGGCCCAGACUCCUACGGGAGGCAGCAUG
rnacentral:rRNA from 1 species